AUACGUAGGUGGCAAGCUUUGUCCGGAAUUAUUGGGCGUAAAGCGCAUGUAGGCGGUUUGGUAAGGCGGUCGUGAAAAUGCGGGGCUUAACGCCGUAUGGCGAUUGAAACUGCUGAACUUGAGGGCCGGAGAGGAAAGGGGAACUCCCAGUGUAGCGGUGAAAUGCGUAGAUAUUGGGAAGAAAACCGGUGGCGAAGGCGCCUUUCUGGACUGUGUCUGACGCUCAGAUGCGAAAGCCAGGGUAGCGAACGGGAUUAGAUACCCCGGUAGUCCUGGCCGUAAACGAUGGGUACUAGGUGUGGGAGGUAUCGACUCCUUCCGUGCCGGAGUUAACGCAAUAAGUACCCCGCCUGGGGGGUACGGCCGCAAGGCUUAAACUCAAAGGAAUUGACGGGG
rnacentral:rRNA from 1 species